UGUCCAGUAACUCCUAUCUCUACCUCCUCGUGGUGCCGCCUGGGAAGAUCGGGUAACCAACCCUGGUGGGACCUUGGUCGUAUGCUGACAGGGAAGG
rnacentral:ribozyme from 1 species